rnacentral:lncRNA from 1 species
ACCAAAAAAAAAAAUAAUAAUAAAAAAAUAAUAAUAAUAAAUUGACCUCCUACAAUGUUGUGCUUGAGGAGCUUUACAAAAUGCAGUAAACAAGAGUUCUCAAUUUUUGGUAGAAAAUUACAUUUUAUAACAAAAUCAUGGGGAGAAGUAAAAGGUCAAAUCCAAGGUUGACUGUAUUAAGAAUGAGAAUAUAGGACUUCCCAUCCAAGUUCAAUAGAAAAUCAAGACCUAGGAAAUUUGGGCAGUGUGGUUCACGGUGAAAAUUAGGUUACAUCCCUAUACGUCCCCACACCAAUACUCCCCUGUAGUAUCGAUGUGGGGAAGCAAUGAUGUGGGGGAGUAUCAGUGUGGGGGAGUAACAGUGCGCCCACAUCAGCAAUUUUACUGUGGAUGUAUUGAUGCGGGGAUCUAUCGGUGUGGGGUCAUAUCGAUGCGCACUAUACACAAAAAUUUACGAAGGGGGAGUAUCGGUGCAGGGGAGUAUCAACAGAUCCCAAAAAUUAGGCCAAAGAUUGCAUUCAAGGUCACAGGAAGACUCAAUAUAUGAGUUCCUAUUCAAGGUCAGAUGUAAAUAUGGGCAUAUCUCUGGAUGAGUGCUAGUAUAUGACUUCCUAUUCAAGUUCAGCAUAGUCAGCCAUCUUGACAGUUUGAAAUAACGUGGCUCCUAGACUCAGAUACAAGGUGUAAACAAACAAAAAGCAUGUCUUACUAGAACAGUGGUGAGUAUGGGCAUAAAGAAGAAGAGGAACAGCUUUUCAGAGAAGGAACUGGGUGAUACUCCCCUUCAAGCAAGAAUGGAGAUAUUCGUGCCUCAAGUUAUUUCUGGAAAACUCAUACCAAGAAGCACUAAAAUCUCAGAAAACUGCAUCACUUCAAUGUCGGCGUGACAAGUUGUAUAAAAGAAUGCUACAAAAAGUGAGCAUUGAUGACAACAAAAUCCACCACCUUUUACCAACAACAAGUGAGCAGUUUUAUAUAAUAGUGAUGACAUAUUUAAAGUGCCAAAGAGAAAGUACCAUUUACCCUUAUAUAAUCUGUUAAAUAUGAAUUUUUUGGCACCAAAUCCUCUUUUGUGUCCUUUCAAACCUUAUUUAAAAAAGUUUUAAAAAAACUGACACCACUGCCAAUUUUGCGCCUCACAAGCUCUACAAAAUGCAAAAAACAAGAGGUCUCUAGCAUUUACAGAUCCAGAAUUAAAGAGAGGUUUCAGUUUUGGCAUCUAAUGGCUGCUUCUCCCGUGGGUUAAGUCUGUGUAGUUUCUGAAAAUAGACACAAAUAAAUUUUUUUUGCAAAUAUUUGAAAUAUCCAUAUCUGGCUUUGUCAGCCAUGUAUAGUAAAUUUUCCCAUAAUUCCUUCGGUUGGAGAGAUAUUUGGCAUUUAAAGGUUCAUCGGGGGGAUCCCCACACCCAGAUCCAUGCACCGACAAAGUCCAAAAUUUACCUGGAUUGAGUUGAGAUUAUACCUGACCUAAAUCCAAGAGAUUGGUACGCAGGCUCUUGUAGAUGGACGAGACAGGUCAGGACUAAAACUAUGUGUCUGCCAGCUCUGCGCUGGUGGUACAACAACAUGGUAUGAGAGCUGAUCUGUGACUGAUUAACAGGUUCAAGCUGGUAUGACUAGCAGGUUCAACCUGAUACAUGUGACCUAAUUCCAUAACAGAAAAGUAUAUUAAAGUCUAUGUAGAUUUUGAGGAUAUGUGGUAACAAAGACCUGAUUCUUUUGGAAAAGCUUGGGCAAAGCUGGUGUCAGACUGGGCAAUGCUGUUCCAGGUCAUAUUCAAGGCACUUCUAGAAAACAUAGUGCAACAAUCCAACCAGACUGGUUUUGGAUCUCAAGUUUUAUUUCAAUCCUAUGAAUCUGAGAAUGAUAAACAAUUUUGUGUGUGCGUGUGCAUGUGUGCGUUUGUAAAGAAAUAUUUCAGGCAAGCACAUAGUGAUGGCAGCCAGCUAGAAAAAUUCCUAAUCACCCAGGAGUCAUAACUCUGAAAUAAGUUGAGAUAUCAAUUCAAAGUUUUAUUUAAUUUUUUAAUAGUCCCUACAAUAUCUACAAAAUAUGUGAUAAUCAGAUGACAAAGGGUACCAUUGCUGGAUGAGUUGAUAUG